rnacentral:rRNA from 1 species
UACGUAGGUGGCGAGCGUUGUCCGGAUUUAUUGGGUUUAAAGGGUGCGUAGGCGGUCCUAUAAGUCAGUGGUGAAAUAUCUCAGCUCAACUGAGAGGGUGCCAUUGAUACUGCAGGACUCGAGUGAAUUUGAGGUAGGCGGAAUUGACGGUGUAGCGGUGAAAUGCUUAGAUAUCGUCAAGAACACCGAUAGUGAAGACAGCUUACCAAGCUUCAACUGACGCUGAGGCACGAAAGUGUGGGGAUCAAACAGG